rnacentral:lncRNA from 1 species
UUUCACUCGUCCUGUGAAUUCAGAUGCAGUCAAGAAAUACUUCGCCUAAAAAUAAAAACAGAAUAGCUCGCUAAGUUGAAAACCCGAAAGGGCGGCUUAGGCAAAAAUUAGUGUCUCGGUGGAUUGAAAACCCGAAAGGGCGGUCCAGGCAAAAGUUAGAGACAUGAAAAAUGAAUAUAGAUAUCCCGCUAGAUUGAGUACCUCAUCCUGGGGCAAUCUAGGCAAAAAUUAGGGAUUUGGC